CCGAGUCCUUGCCUUGCGGCCACGUUUGCGCCACCUACAGCCCCGGAGGGUGAGCGUUAUGGCGGCUUCUUUCCCGCUCCCAGUGACCCAGGACCUGUUCGCGCUGCGUGCCAAGUUGCAGGAGCUGCUGCAGUUCCUGAGGAAAGCCCUGUCCAUUUCUAAUGCACAUACGGUGGACUUCUACACGGAGUCCGUGUGGGAGCAACUGAUCGACUUGCGCCCGGACACCGUGCUGGGGGUACUGAGGAAAUCAGUGGCAGAGGCUGAGGCCCGACCCUUGGAGGCGCGCCUCCUGGCGGAAGCCGAGAGGCAAUCAGGUAUUACUAAUUUUCCCAAAAUAUUUUGUGAAACUUCCCAGAAGCUGGUGAGUGUGGAAGCCUUUGCUCUGGCUGUGAGAUAUUAUUCUGUACAAAACUUGGGAAUAUGUACUCCUUUUGAGCAGUUACGUACAGCCCUUCAAGGAAGUCAAAAACAGAGAACUGGUGAAAAUGUGAAACCAGAUGAAUUUAUGAAUUUGAAAAAAUCUCAUGAAGUUCAGGCUAUGUCAGAGCUGGUCAGCAGUAUUGCUGAUUACUAUGGGAUAAAGCAGGUAAUUGACCUGGGUUCUGGAAAAGGCUACCUAAGCUCUUUUUUGUCCUUGAAGUAUGGCUUAAAAGUUUAUGGAAUUGAUUCAUCAAAUACCAAUACUCAUGGAGCUGAGGAGAGAAACAGGAAAUUGAAGAAACAUUGGAAAGUCUACCAUACUCGGUCAAAAUUAGAUGCCAAUGGACUGGCAUUAAAAAUGACAAAAGAAAGGAAAGUGCAAGAUGAAAUUAAGUAUAAAGUAGAUAUUGAAGGAAUAUGUAACAGCAGUUCUGCGAAUCAAGAAAAGAUGUCUACCUCAGAUUUUUUGCCAGAUUUUUCAAAUUCAGUGAUUCCUAACAUUAGAACACAAAUGGAAAACCUACAUGUAUAUUCACAUCAAGAAGAAAACUUGUGUUUUGAAAAUGCCUUUUCUCUUACAGACCUUUUGCCUGCUAAUGCCAUAGAACCUGCUUUAUUCCAGACACCUAAGACAAAAAUGUCUGAAACAAAUAAAGAGAGAAGAAAACAUAUAUCAAAGUCAAGUGAAUUAAAUAUAUAUUCACCUUUAACAUCUGUUAUCACUGCUGAUUCACAACUACAGGAUAUUAUUAAAGAUCUGGAGGAUUGUUUGAUGGUAGGUCUGCAUACUUGUGGUGAUCUUGCUCCAAACACUCUUCGAAUAUUUACUGCCAAAUCUGAAAUCAAGGGAGUUUGCAGUGUGGGCUGUUGCUACCACCUCUUAUCUGAAGAGUUUGAAAACCCACAUAAAGAAAGUACCCAAGAAAAAUGGGGAUUUCCAAUGUGCCAGUAUUUAAAGGAAGAGAGAUGGUGCUGUGGUCGUAAUGCCAGAAUGUCAGCAUGUUUGGCAUUGGAACGAGUUGCAGUUGGGCAAGGGCUGCCUACUGAAUCUCUCUUCUAUCGAGCUGUCCUUCAGGAUAUUAUUAAAGAAUGUUACGGCAUCACCAAAUGUGAUCGGCACGUUGGUAAAAUUUAUUCCAAAUCCUCUUCCUUUCCGGACUAUGUCAGAAAGUCUCUAAAGAAGCUUGGAUUAGAUGAGUCCAAGCUGCCAGAAAAAGUUAUAAUGGACUACUACGAGAAGUAUAAGCCUAGAAUGAAUGAGCUGGAAGCUUUUAAUAUGUUGAAAGUUGUUCUGGCUCCUUGUAUAGAGGCAUUGAUUCUUCUAGAUCGACUUUGCUACCUAAAAGAACAGGAAGAUAUUGCAUGGGUUGCACUUGUGAAGUUGUUUGAUCCUGUGAAAUCUCCCAGAUGUUAUGCUAUUAUUGCCCUGAAGAAGCAGCAAUGAUUUCAGUUGAAGCAAGUUUCCUCUUGAGAAAAGCAAGAUAUUGGUGGAUGCAUAACCUUCUAGACCUCAAGCAGUUGAUGAUUUCUUGGCUGUCCUGCCUCUAAAUGGCAGUGAACAUGUUCAGAACAUGCUGUGGUGAAAAGGGAGGAAAUGAAUACACUGAUCCUCCAUGGGAAAAAACUAACCCCUUCCUCUGAGAGAAAAGAAUAAUGCCAGGUGUCCUCAUGUGUGUCAGUGCCUGUGGGAGGCAUUUGCUGAUAUUCUGCCCACACCUCCGCCACCACCCAAGUGAAGAGGAGAAACAUCAUUUAGGUCACUCCCACGUGUACUUAUUAGGGCACAGAGACUGUAAAUUGCAUGCCUACUUCCUCAUCUGCUUAGUGGAACCUAAGUUCCUCAAAGGCAGGAACCAUGUGAUACACCUUUGAAUCUCCAGUUUUGGACCUACAACAUUAUCUAAUCUCACAAGUUUAAUAAAGUUUUAUUGAACCUUU